GGGCGAUUAGCUCAGUGGGAGAGCGCUACCUUGACACGGUAGAGGCCACUGGUUCAAUCCCAGUAUCGCCCAC
rnacentral:tRNA from 4 species